ACAGCAGUCGCCGCGGUAAGACAGAGGAUGCAAGCGUUAUUCGGAAUGAUUGGGCAUAAAGCGUCUGUAGGUGGCUUUUCAAGUCCACCGUCAAAUCCCCGGGCUCAACCCUGGACAGGCAGUGGAAACUACCAAGCUGGAGUACGGUAGAGGCAGAGGGAAUUUCCGGUGGAGCGGCGAAAUGCGUUGAGAUCGGAAAGAACACCAACGGCGAAAGCACUCUGCUGGGCCGACACUGACACUGAGAGACGAAAGCUAGGGGAGCAAAUGGGAUUAGAUACCCCCGUAGUCCCUGUCUCUUAUAC
rnacentral:rRNA from 1 species